CAAUAGCGUAUAUUAAAGUUGUUGCAGUUAAAAAGCUCGUAGUUGGAUUUCUGGUAGUGGGUUAGAGCGCACAUGCGUGAUGCUCGCGUCCAUUGCCAUCCUUCUGUUAACCUUUCAGGGCAUUCAUUUGCCAGUUAGGGGCUCAGAUAUUUUACCUUGAGAAAAUUAGAGUGUUUCAGGCAGGCUUGUGCCCGGAUACAUUAGCAUGGAAUAAUAGAAUAGGACUUUAGCCUCUUCUGUUGGUCUGAGGGGUUGAAGUAAUGAUUAAUAGGGAUAGUUGGGGGCAUUAGUACUUAACUGUCAGAGGUGAAAUUCUCAGACCAGCGGAAGACGAACCACUGCGAAAGCAUUUGCCAGGGAUGUUUUCACUGAUCAAGAACGAAAGUUAGGGGAUCGAAGACGAUCAGAUACCAU
rnacentral:rRNA from 1 species